ensembl:lncRNA
CGUCUGACGACUUAGGAAAGCUGUUUCCAUUGAGUUCCAAAGGCCAGAUCAAAUCAAAAGAACCCCAAACUAGACGUCGCCUCACGUCAGCCUAACUUCAGACUUUAGGCGAUGCUGCCCUCUAGUGGACAUGAUGCGCGUCAGGAAGGUCUUAACGGCCCGUAUCGAUGGCCCGUAUCGACCUCCCCCAACACGGCAGGGAGAGAGAGGAGAGAUCUGAGCUGGAAACCUUAACAUGCACUGAGGAGCCUGAAGCCUGGACAUGUGCUCAAUGGGCCAAUCAGGGCUCAACCUGCCGGACUCAACCUGCCGGACUCAUGCAAUGGAGUCCAUCCUCCUGACCUGACGAAGGCCGCCUCCUCAUACCUGUGCCCCCGCAUCUCUGGGAUCCUCAGAGUCCAUCGUCUUAUGCGGCCGCUGCUGUCCUCUCCUCCUCCUCUGGCUGAGACCACCCUUCACCCACCCUCAGCUGCCCCUCAUGCCCAGGGCGCAGGCAGGGUUCCACCAUCACUCCUAGUCCUGCCUGCGUACGGUUGAGUGUUUGGGCGCACAAUGGCGACCAAGCUGCGCAUCGGGUUCUAUAUCCUGGCGGCAAGCUGCCUGCCCUUCCUCUACAUCCUGUGUGUGAGCCUUGAGAUUUGGGCGUCUGGCAG